GCGCACCCUGCUUCCUAGGGAGGGAGGCUGGGGCGGCAAGGCGGGCGCGGGUGGUCCUUGCCCCGCGCCAGCUCGCCAGGCCACGUCGCUGGCGUUUUUCCAGCGCUGGGUCACCUGCGGGCCGGCGGGUUCCCGCGGCGAACAGCUGGGUGGUAUGGAUACGCCGCUCGAGCCUCCGCAGCGUCAGGUCGCCAGGGUCCGCCCUGCCACUCGCCCCACCUUGAGCUACCUCUGAAGAAAAGAUGAUGGCCCGGUGCGGUGGCUCACGCCUGUAAUCCCAGCACUUUGGGAGGCCGAGUCAGGCGGAUCACCUGAGCAGUGUAAAGAAAGUCUGAAGAAUACUCCAGGAAAAUUGAGGAAACUAAAGCUAUUUCUACUACUGGUCUCAUAAUUGCAAAGCCAGUGCCUACCAUGAUAAGUGCUCUCUUACUUGGUAUGAAGGAAAUGAUUUUCUUCCCUUGCUAUUUUUUUUAGAAGAAGACGUAUAAGCCUUUAAGCUUAGUAAACCUUUGGGUUCUGUGCAUUUGGCCAUCAUUCCAGUUGUCAGCAUUGUGCAGGACAGGUACUUGAGGUCUGUUUUUGUGAACCAGGGACCCGAGGCACAGAGCAAGUAAGUGGAUAGAAACAAAUGCUGUAAGAACAAAUAAUUGUAUUUAAAAAUUUAUGAUUUUCAUUUAUUUUUCAGAGGAAGCAUUAAUGAGUAGGUAGUAAUUUCUGGGUAUUAAAAAACCAUCAGAGACAUUUCUUUUUCCUUAUAAAAGAAGUCAUAACAGUGAACAUUUAUAGCACUUAGCUUACUAAGGGUUUCACGUCCUAUAAUCCCCAGCACUUUAGCAGGCUGAGAGGGGAGGACUGCUUGAGGCCAGGAGUUCAAGACCAGCCUGGGUAACAUAGCAAGACCCUGUCUCUAUUUAGAAAAAUAAUAAAAACAAAGGGUUUCACAUGUAUUUUAGAAAUUAGACCUUCCGAAGUUGUGAGAUUUGUAAUAAUGUUCAUUUUAGAGACUAGAAAACUAAGCCUCAUGAAGGCCAUGUGACUUGUCCACCAUUGCACCAGUGCUGAGUGGCAGAUCUCUGGUCUGGAAGCCACGUUCUUCUCACUAUACCAUGUUGCCAUUUUUCAGCAACUGGUGCACGAUGCAUAUUCUCCAAGACAGAAGGGAAGGAGGCUUGAUUAAUUGUGGCUCAGCCUUUCCUCAUAGUUUUGGGGCUGUAAGACCUGUGCAUUGUAAGUGAACCAUAAGGUCUGUUUGCCUCAGAGCAGGUUAGUUCACACCGUGCUGCUGCUGCUUUUAAGCAAUGCAGGAUGAACGGAGCUUGGGAGCAAUUUUCUCUCACUCCCAUGGUGGCAUCUCUUCAGUUCACUUUCUUUGUACUGCUCCUCUUAGGUUUAUGGCCGUGCAGUUGUCAGUGCUCCUGUCAGUCUUUCCAACCUUCCCUCUAAAUUCCUGGCACCAGCAGUUGGCCUAGAACAUGCUGAUCUUCAGCACCCUGACAGAAAAGGCUGCUAUCACAGUGGAAAGUGUGGCUUCCUGGGCUGCCUCUUGGCAAAGGGCUCUAGCUUGUCCAGAUUUGGGUCAGCCCCAGGGUCUAUCAGUUCCAGGAGAGGUGUUGAAGGGCUGUGACAAAUGCCUGCCCUGGCAGAUGGAGGAAGCUCUGGCUAGCUUGAGAGCGCAGUGUAAUAACAGCUGCCCUGAGAAGGGACUUCCAGCCAUUCUUGUGCUCUGAGAUUGUGUCCGGAAUUGGUGGGUUCUUGGUCUCACUGACUUCAAGAAUGAAGCCGCAGACACUUGCGGUGAGUAUUACAGUUCUUAAAGGCAGCGUGUCCGGAGUUUGCUCCUUCUGAUGUUCAGAUGUGUUCGAAGUCUCUUCCUUCUGGUAGGUUCGUGGUCUCACUGGCUCAGAAGUGAAGCUGCAGACCUUCACGGUGAGUGUUACAGCUCUUAAGGUGGCGCAUCUGGAGUUGUUCGUUCCUCCUGGUGGGCUCGUGAUCUUGCUGGCUUCAGGAGUGAAGCUGCAGACCUUCGCGGUGAGUGUUACAGGUCAAAAAAAGCAGUGUGGACCCAAAGAGUAAGCAGCAGCAAGAUUUAUUGCAAAGAGCGAAAGAACAAAGCUUCCCCCGCGUGGAAGAGGACCCAAGCGGGUUGCCACUGCAGAGUUUGGGCAGCCUGCUUUUAUUCUCUUAUCUGGCCCCACCCACAUCCUGCUGAUUGGUAGAGCUGAGUGGUCUGUUUUUACAGGGCGCUGAUUGGUGCAUUUACAAUCCCUGAGCUAGACACAAAGGUUCUCCACCUCCCCACCAGAUUAGCUAGAUACAGAGUGUCAACACAAAGGUUCUCCAAGUACCCACCAGAGUAGCUAGAUACAGAGUGUUGAUUGGUGCAUUCACAAACCCUGAGCUAGACACAGGGUGCUGAUUGGUGUGUUCACAAACCUUGAGCUAGAUACAGAGUGUGGAUUGGUGUAUUUACAAUCCCUGAGCUAGACAUAAAGGUACUCCAAGACCCCACCAGAGUAGCUAGAUACAGAGUGUCGAUUGGUGCCUUCACAAACCCUGAGCUAGACACAGGGUGCUGAUUGGUGUAUUUACAAUCCCUUAGCUAGACAUAAAGGUUCUCCAUGUCCCCACCAGACUCAGGAGCCCAGCUGGCUUCACCCAGUGGAUCCCGCACUGGGGGGGCAGGUGGAGCUGCCUGCCAGUCCCAGUGCGUGCGUGCGCCCGCACUCCUCAGCCCUUGGGUGGUCGAUGGGACUGGGCGCCGUGGAGCAGGGGGUGGCACUUGUCGGGGAGGCUCGGGCCGUACAGGAGCCCAUGGAGGGGGUGGGAGGCUCAGGCAUGGCGGGUUGCAGGUUCCGAGCCCUGCCCCGCGGGAAGGCAGCUAAGGCCCGGUGAGAAAUCGAGCCCAGCGCCGGUGGGCUGGCACUGCUGAGGGACCCAGUACACCCUCUGCAGCCGCUGGCCCGGGUGCUAAGCCCCUCAUUGCCCGGGGUCGGCAGGGCCGGCCGGCUGCUCCGAGUGCGGGGCCUGCCAAGUCCACGCCCACCCGGAACUCCAGCUGGCCCGCAAGCGCCACGCGCAGCCCGGGUUCCCGCUCGGGCCUCUCCCUCCACACCUCCCUGCAAGCUGAGGGAGCCGGCUCUGGCCUUGGCCAGCCCAGAAAGGGGCUCCCACAGUGCAGCGCUGGGCUGAAGGACUCCUCAAGUGCCGCCAAAGUGGGAGCCCAGGCAGAGGAGGCGCCGAGAGCGAGCGAGGGCUGUGAGGACUGCCAGCACGCUGUCACCUCUCAAGCUGACAUCGGCAGCUGUGAGGACCCACCUGUUAGGAAGUCAGGGACCCUGAACAGAGGGACCGGCUGAAGCCAUGGCAGAAGAACAUGGAUUGUGCAGAUUUCAUGGACAUUUAUUAGUUCCCCAAGUUAAUACUUUUAUAAUUUCUUAUGCCUGUCUUUACUGCAAUCUCUAAACAUAAAUUGUGAAGAUUUCAUGGACACUUAUCACUUCCCCAAUCAAAUACCCUUGUGAUUUCCUAUGCCUGUCUUUACUUUAAUCUCUUAAUCCUGUCAUCUCGUAAGCUGAGGAGGAUGUAUGUCCCCUCAGGACACUGUGAUGAUUGCGUUAACUGCACAAAUUGUAGAGCAUGUGUGUUUGAACAAUAUGAAAUCUGAGCACCUUGAAAAAGAACAGGAUAAUAGCAAUGUUCAGGGAACAAGAGAGAUAACCUUAAACUCUGACCGCUGGUGAGCCAGGCAGAACAGAGCCAUAUUUCUCUUCUUUCAAAAGCAAAUGGGAGAAAUAUUGCUGAGUUCUUUUUCUCAGCAAGGAACAUCCCUGAGAAAGAGAAUGUGCCCCUGAGGGUAGGCCUCUAAAAUGGCCCCCUUGGGUGUGGCCAUCUUCUAUGGUAGAAACUGUAGGAAUGAAAUAAGCCCCAGUCUCCCAUAGCGCUCCCAGGCUUAUUAGGAUGAGGAAAUUCCUGCCUAAUAAAUUUUUGGUCAGACCGGU